GGGAGGCCGAUUGCGAGUGACGACAAGCAAUCGGAACGCUAUAAAAGGUGGGUGGUGUCCAUCCCGAAGCAGUUGAGCUGCUCCUUAUGUCUAAGUAUUAUUGUUGAUCUAUUGCAUAUUGAUAGGAUGCAUGAUAGGGUAUGAAUGGGCGCAAUUCCUUUACUUGCAUGUCUUUGAUAGUGUAGCGAGGUGAGCUUGACACUAGUGUUAGAAUGCAUGAGUAAAGGUGAAUUGUCACAUAGAAACCCUAGUGUAAAUGACAAUGUGAACUUGUGUUAAUUGGACAAGAGUCGAUGAACGAGUAGCAUCUAAAUAGCAUGAAAACUAUCACGAGUGACAUGAUGAACUAGAGUGUAGGUGAACCACUAUUGCAUGAUAAACCUAGUGAUGACUAGUUCCCGAGAGAUGUUGGCCCUAGUGGAUAGGGUAUCCUCUGUUGAAGAGGAUUGGACUAUACUCACAUGUCUGUUUAGUGCUUGUUGGCGGUCGCUCUGCACAAGCCGUGCGCUCCGGAGUUUUGUCACACGAGGGGUGAGCUUUAUGGGGGCCCGCAAACGGUCUUGGGUGAGUGAGUGUGGAUCCUCACCUACGAGAUGUUAGUGAGUCGGGUGAGUGAGUAGUUCUCGCCCCGAGCGAGUGGAUCCUCUCCCGUGAGAUUGAGAUUGGGUUCUAUGACAGCUAUAGUAGCAUGUUUUCCUUGACAGAGUAGCAUGACAGUGACCUCUGUACUAUGUAGGAUUCAUUCAUUCAUAUUUGGAUUGAGGCAUACAACAUGAUAUCUGUUAUUGCUUUCGUUUAUAUAUCUAUCUAUCUGCAUAUGCCUGCUUAAACGUUGUGGGGAGAUCGGCGGAGUCGGCGGCCGAACCCACUGGGAACUAUUCGUAGUUCUCACCCCACCAUGUUGCAAGGUCGAGUGCGAGCGCUCCGGGCGAGAAUCGCGGUAAGGGCUUAGCGCCCUAGAGAUAGCUACAGCCUCCUUUUGCAUUAGAGACACCUGAGGUAUACAUGAGAGUAGAUCUUGUAUAGGUGUGAGGCAGUUUGAGAGCAUGAUGUAUAUACAUUUUGGAUGAUAAAUGUAAGUAAAUAGGGAUAAACAAUGUUGUAAAUGAAUGUAAUAGUUAGUAACUCUCUUUAUUAUCACUUGUAUGAUUUACUUGUGGCUUGCUCUUGUUGUUAGCGCUAGUGGCGCUCCUCGUUGUAUCAUGUAUGUGUUUGAGUUUUCUUGGGCAACUCUUGUACAUGAUUUGUAGAUGCGAAGCCUUGGGCGGACAGGGGAGGUAUUGUCCGUCCGGCAUACUGUUCGACGUCCCCGCACCGGCCAAAGUGGCAGUCGUAGGGCGUGACACUAAUAAGAUAGUAUCAGAGCGAGUAAAGAGCAAGUAAAGAGAGAGUUUAGGAUGAACCUAGGAGACCCUAGGUUGGUAAACCCUAAGGCUAUAGGUGCUUGAGUGAGACGUGAACCUGUGGCGGUGGCGAAAGUUGAUCGAUUGGGUCGAAGUGGUGAUGUAUCUCUUGUGGUGAUUAGAGAUGAACUCAAGUGGUAUGACUUCUUUACUCGAGGUGGUUGCGUCGGCGACCGACGACAUGACGCUAAGAGUCUAGAACGAGUACACUUGCAUACUUCCGCCUGAUUAUGUCGUUGAGACGUGUUGUUUCGUAAUUGCAAGGAGAUGUUGGGUUAAGGUAAUUAACCAACUUGUUGCGUUUCAGGAACGAAUGCCUCCGAGACGCUACGUGCGUAGGUCCGUUCCGGCACCACCGCCUGAGGUGCUUGAGCAAGUGUGGUCAAGCGAAGUGCAAGAGCUGCGGGCACAGAUGACUGUGCUAGUUGGCGCAGUGCAGCAACUGCAAGGGCUUGUAGAGCGACAAGUGGCGGCGGCGGCCGCGACGGCGAUUGAGGGUCGUGAUCCGCCUGCACCCUCGGCUCGCGCGCCAGUUGCGACUGAGAGUGAGGGCAUUGCGGCGCCUCUGGUGGCGGCACAUCCCCCGCCGGCGAGUGUUCCUGUGGCGGCAUCGAGUUUUGCAACCCCUACGGCAAUUGAGGAGUCGGAGCGGGAGCGCGGCUACGGGCGCUCACGAGAUUUAUGAAGUUUCGUCCUUCGACCUUCGACGGCGAGGUAGUGGACCCGUGGACGGUGGAGACAUGGUUAGCCACAAUGGAAACCUUGUUCGAGGAUAUUUAUACCCUCGAGCAAAAUAAGGUAACUUUGGACGCUCAUUGUUUCGAUGAGAGGGCUAGAGUGUGGUGGCGGAGGGUAAAGCAAGAUAGAUCUCCGGAUUUACCCCCGAUUGAUUGGACGGAGUUUCGGGGACCGAUGUUCACGGAGUACUUCCCCGACAACGACAAGAGAAGGAUGUGUGAGACCUUUCGAAAAUUAAAGCAGGGUAGCCGCACGGUACGCGAGUAUGAGCGGGAGUUCACGCAUAUCCUGAACUGCAUGCCGGAUGUGGCUAGGACCGAACAGGACCGGGCGGAGUGUUUCGUGCGGGGACUCCGGCCUGAUGUUUUCCGAUUGGUGAAUGCCUUCAUGUUUCAUACGUUCGGGGAGGUGUUGCACCGUGCUCUGUGGGUCGAGCACGGCAAUGUGUGUAUUCACGAGGAGCGCGAAGAGUUCGAGAAGGAAAAGGGAAAAAGCAGACCGGCGGUGGUUCGGGGGGACAAUCGAGUUCCAAGAAGCCCCCGAAGUAUCUGCGUACGCAGUUGUGGAAUCGUGGAGCGCAGCGGUGUGUCUUUUGUGGUGGAGACCACCAGGCCUCGCGAUGUGAUCAACGUCAUGGACGGUGUUUCGAGUGCGGUCAGGCAGGACACAUGAUCCGUGAUUGUCCAAGGAAGGCCUUGUCGGCCCCGUCUGUCGCAUCGGCUCCAGCGGCGCCUGGACACUAUGGAAGAGCUCCACCUACUGCCGUUUUUGCUGGACGUGCAAUGAUGCCGCGUCAACCAGAGGUGACUCGAUCGGCUCCGAGUGGAUGGGUGUUCGCUGCUCAAGUUGAGGAGCCUGCCGAGGCUGAAGAGCGCAACGUCGUGGCAGGUAUGGUUUUGAUUAACGGAGUUCGCUCCAGAGCUAUGUUUGAUACAGGUGCUUCGCACUCAUUCAUCAGUAGAUCAUUCGCACAAAUGCAUGACAUAGAGAUCCAGUUGAGUGAUGGCACUUGGCAAGUAGAGGGUCGGGCGUGCGUUUGUUAUCCGGAAGGAAUGUUCGACGUGUCCUGUGAAAAUAGGCGAGUGGAUUAUGCCAAUCCGGAUGUUUGUGCUCAAGAGACUAAAGGACUUUGAUGUCAUAUUUUGCAUGGAUUGGUUCUCGAAGUAUUAUGCAUCCAUUGACUGCAAGAGUAGGGUGAUAACAUUUCGUGAGCCAGGACAAGAUUAGUUCUCGUAUAGAGCGUGCAAGAGCUCGUGCUUCGCCGUGACAGUAUCGGCGACGAGGGCGAGGAAGUUGGUCAACAGCGGUUGCGUAGCUUACUUGGCGACUAUUGUGGAGGUCGAGAGAACGGCUCCGACGCUCGAGGAGUUGUCCGUGGUCCGGGAGUUUCCGGAUGUAUUUUCCGCGGAGUGACCGGGAAUACCACCGGACUGGGAAAUCGAGUUCGUAAUAGACUUGGUUCCCGGGACCGCGCCUAUUUCGAAGGCUCCAUAUCGAAUGGCACCGGCAGAGCUGAAGAAGCUGAGGGCUCAGUUGCAAGAUCUCCUUGACAAGGAGUUUAUCAAGCAGAGUGUGUCACCGUGGGGAGCCCCGGUAUUGUUUGUGCGGAGGAAGGAUGGAUCGUUUCGACUCUGCGUGGACUACCGCGAGUUGAACAAGGUCACAAUCAAGAAUAAGUAUCCGCUGCCCCGUAUUGAUGAUUUGUUUGAUCAGUUACAGGGGUCGCGUGUGUAUUCGAAGAUAGACCUCCAGUCAGGCUACCAUCAGUUAAAGAUCAAGCCGGAGGAUGUGCAGAAGACCGCAUUCCGCAUGCGAUACAUACAUUACGAAUUCAUGGUUAUGCCGUUCGGGCUUACAAAUGCCCCAGCAGCGUUCAUGGAUCUGAUGAACCGUGUCUUGAGGGCGUGCUUGGACCGAUUUGUCGUGGUCUUUAUUGACGACAUCUUGGUGUACUCGCAGAGUGACGAGGAGCAUGCCGAGCAUUUGAGAGUUGUGCUUCAAAUCCUUCGGGAGGAGAAGCUAUAUGCUAAGUUGAAGAAGUGCAACUUUUGGCUGCGAGAAGUUGCAUUUCUGGGGCAUGUUAUUUUCGAUGGCGGAGUUUCUGUCGACCCGAGGAAAGUAGAAGCGAUCAAGGACUGGCCGGGCCCGAUGAAUGUCACGGAAGUCCGAAGCUUUGUGGGCUUGGCAGGCUAUUAUCGACGGUUUGUGGAGGGUUUCUCGAAGAUCGUGAUUCCACUUACCCGUCUCACUCAGAAGGGCACCAAGUUCAUGUGGAACGACGAGUGCGACAGGAGUUUUAAAGAGUUGAAGGGAAGAUUGACUUCGCUCCGAUGCUUGCCUUACUGGUACAAGACGAGGACUUUGUGGUGUAUAGCGACGCGUCUUAUUUGGGAUUAGGGUGUGUUCUGAUGCAGUGCGGGAAGGUGAUGGCUUAUGCAUCCCGACAAUUGAAAAGCUACGAGAAGAACUACCCAAUCCAUGAUCUAGAGCUAGCCGCGGUGGUAUUUGCUCUCAAGCUGUGGAGGCAUUACCUAUACGGCGCGCGUUGUGAGGUAUAUACUGACCACAAAAGUCUAAAGUAUUUGUUUACGCAGAAAGAGCUAAAUAUGCGACAACGGCGGUGGCUAGAGCUGUUGAAGGAUUAUGACGUCACAAUCCUCUACUACCCCGGGAAUGCGAAUGUAGUCGCGGAUGCUCUUAGCAGAACGUCGGCGGAGAACCUCGCACUUUGGGUUACUAAUCAGGUACCCUUGUGGAAAGAGAUGGGCCGAAUGGAUCUCGAGGUUGUAGCUCCGGGGAUUCUGACUAUGUUAUCGACUCUUAUCGUCCAACCGACCUUGUUGGAGCGGAUAAAGGAAUUACAGUCUACAGAUCCAGCUCUCCAAAAGGUGCGGCGCGACAUAGAGAGUGAACACGGUGGCGAUUUUCACGUGGACGCCGGUGGUGCGCUUCGGUUUCGAAAUCGGUGAUGUGUACCGGAGAAUGAGGAGAUUCGCAAGCUGAUUUUGCAAGAAGCACAUUGGUCUCCUUAUAGUGAUCACCCAGGCGGCACCAAGAUGUACCAAGAUCUAAAAAUGCACUAUUGGUAGCCGGGCAUGAAAGCUGAUAUUGGGCGCUUUGUGGCUAAGUGUCUUGUAUGCCAGCAAGUGAAGGCAGAGCACCGAUUUCCAGCGGAAAAUUUGCAAAGUCUACCUAUUUCCGUUUGGAAAUGGGAGGAUGUAUCGAUGGACUUCGUGGUCGGCUUUCCUCGUUCGACGGGCGGCCACGAUGCGAUUUGGGUAGUGGUGGAUCGCCUGACAAAGUCGGCACACUUUUUGCCGAUCCACACUACAUGGUCAAGUGACCGGUUAGCGUAGGUAUAUCUUGACGAGAUUGUGUGAUCGCAUGAGGCUCCGAAGUCAAUUGUAUCGGAUCAAGGUCCCCGGUUCACUUCGCACUUCUGGAAGAGCCUGCAAGAUGCACUUGGCACACGACUCGAUUUCAGUACCGUGUUUCAUCCUCAGACAGAUAGACAGUCAAAGAGGACUAUUCAGAUUCUGGAGGAUAUGUUGCGGGCGUGUGUUAUUGAUUACAGGGGCAGUUGGUACAGUCAUUUGCCGAUGGCAGAGUUUGCCUACAACAAUAGUUACCAAGCUAGCAUCGGAAUGGCACCGUUCGAGACUCUUUAUGGGCGGAAGUGCCGAUCCCCGAUAUAUUGGAGUGAUGUGGGCGAGCAUUCGGUAUUGGGCCCUGAUGUUUUGCGGGAGGCUGAAGAGAAGGUCCGUCUUGCUCAUCGAAGGUUGCUUACGGUGCAGUCUCGACAGGAGAGUUACGCAAACAAGCGCCGACGAGAUUUGGAAUUCGCGGUCGGCGACCGCGUUUUCCUGAAAGUGUCGACAAUGAGAGGCGUGAAGCGGUUCGGGGUGCGGGGAAAGCUAAGUCCCCGAUAUAUUGGACCGUAUGAGGUAUUCGAGCGUGUUUGAGCGGUAGCUUAGCGGCUCGCAUUGCUGCCGAAGCUCACGGACGUUCACAAUGUGUUUCACGUGUAACACACUGGACCUUUGCAAAUUGCGAGGUUCGAGUGAUUGGAUGUGUCCUGAGCUUUUUCAGACUUUCUGGUGGGUCGUUGACAGUGUUCCGACCUAUGGUUCGAAGCCCGAGAAGUGAGGUCUAAAGCUUAGUACCAAAACCUGAAAAGUCAGAUUUUUGGUCAGCUCUCGGGUAGCCUUCAGCAGGCAGUGUACCGGUACAGAGUUGAUGGCUGUACCGGUACAGGGUUGAUGGUUGUACCAGUACGCGGGCUCGUGUACCGGUAGACAGGCAGUUUUGAGGCAAACCCGAGGCUCGGGUUUGGGAUUUUCGUGGGAGGUGUACCGAUACGCGGGCCCGUGUACCGGUACACAGUGACAGAUUCUGAAUGGUCGAAACUGCAGGGGUGUAUUUGCAUUGUGACACUUCUAUAUAUGCCCCCACGCUCCUAGGGCUCUUCCCUGAGCUGAGAAGGGUGGAGAACAAGGUGAGUGAAGUCCUCUCUCCCCCUCCUUUGAUUUGAUCUCCAUUUUGGAUGGAUUUUGGUGGAUUGAUCCUUCUCUUUUUCCCUUUUUAUGCUUUUCUUCCAUGGUUGAAGCUUGGAGCUUGGAUUUGGAGCAUAGUUGAGGAAAGAUCUUGGAACCUAGAGGGUUUUGAACCUAGAUUGAAGCUUCUAAGAGGUAAGCAACUUGUUCUUUCUCCAAGAUUUCAUGGUUUGAAGGUUUCUUUGAGAUGAAACUCUAGAAUGAGGUUUUAGGGUUAAUUUUGGGUAUUUUGAAUCUAGGGCCUUUUAAGCUAAAUUGAUCGGAUUAGAACCUUCCUUUGGGUUGGAUUGGAAGGGAUUUAGCUCUCUUUUGGAGCUUGGGAAAGAUUUUCUACUCCAUAGGUGAGAUUUUAGCCCUUUUGCCUUAAUGGUUAAUGUUUGAUCUUAUAGUUGUUCGUAACGCUCGUGUAUCUCUUCGCUCCUUACUUUUAGGGUACUUAGAGACUCGUGGACAACUCCGUUCGGCGAAUCGAAGGAUCCCGAGACGGUUCGGUAGGUUUGACCUAGCCACACAAUGAGAAAAUCUCAUUUGUGAUGAUUUGAGUAUCGUUAAAUGAAAAAGCAUGCAUAAACAUGUUAGAUGUAUUUAUUAUGAAUUUUAAAAUGCUUAACAUGUCUAUUGUAAUGUAUAGAAAAUUUUCGGACCUCUAUAUGGUAGAGAGCUUGCAUGUGAGACUUAGCAUUCUAGUUGAGAUUUGGAACUAUAAUUUCUAUCAUGAAAAUGAACAUUACUUUCAUACAUUUAACCUUUAUGCCCAAUUGUGACAUUAGGGACUUUGGAAGUCUUGAGAGGCUUGGGGACUUAGAUUAUUUGAGAAUUUGGGCCAAUGUCAUAAAGAGGCAUUGGGCCUGGGCUAUAGUGAACAUUAGUAUUAAUGUCUUAAUUGGAACAUAGGAUACGAAUUGGGCUUAAUUAGUUGUGAUGCUUAAGUGUCAUAAAGAGGCACUAAGCCAUUGGGUGUUGGGUUAUCACAUUGUGACAUAGAGCUAGACCGUUGGGUUACUAGUGGCUAUUGCCAUGUUUGAGACAUGAGGGCUGGAUACUUGAGCCUUUGACUACGCUUGCUUGCCAUUUGUGCUCAUUCGCACAUGCUUGUGAGGGUUGCUCCCUACAAGCCGGCACUCCGGAGUUAGCCUACGCGACCUAUAUUCGCUCGUGCGGUAUUGAGAAGCCUACGGGGUCGAGUGGGACAGACACAUUCCAAGAGCAGGAAUGUUGGGCUACCACAGGCACUUAGGCGGCACAAGCUGGACUACCUUGGAUAGGUCCUUAAUUGGAAAUGAAAAUCGACACGGUGUUGAGUGGGUUUUAAUCACUACUAGGCAGAGAGUAGUAGUUGGAUUACUUAGACUUGCUUCUAGUAUAGUUUUGGACACUUGAGUAUACAUACACACAUGUAGUAUGCUAGGAGAUGUUGUUUUUGCAUUCAUAUAUACAAUGUUGUCAUGAUAAAGCAUGAUCUUCAUAACUUCAUAAAGUAAACCGUGACAUUUACUUGUGGCCAUGUAGGGACAUAUUGUUUAUGACAAGGUAAAGGUGCAUCAUUUUAACACCAUGUUUAAUUGCAACAUAAUAGCUUAGCAUUUUAGUUAUGCUUUCAUAAAUGCAAUUUAUUCGUUAUUAUUGCUCUCUUUUUAGACUUACCCUUUCUUUGGGGCCAGUGGUGCAUUGAGCUGAGGUCAGUAAUUGCCCACUGGGAACUAUAAAUUAUAGUUCUCACGCCCUCUGUUUUAUGUUUUCUUUCAGAGUCUUCCACGCCGGGAGAGGCUAGGGACCGUGGGAAGGGCGUUGCUUCGAGCUAUCUCUUCAGCGAGUGACGAGUUGAUAGGUGGUCUACCUCUCGAUGUGUGUAUUUUGGAGAGGUUGAGAGCUGUACCAGUGUACUAGAGACCGCCCUGUUGUGUACUAUUUUGGACAGAUAUUGUAUAACUAUACGUUUCACUCUUAUUGCUUUAGUAUUUUUCUUUUACCUUGAUGUAGAUGAUAGAUCUAUUGGUGCUCUGAUAUCUCUAGAUGUUGAUUAUCUUUGGUUUUAUUUUUCGCUGUUGAUGUAGACGCUUUAUAUGUGCUGACAUAUGGCUGGUCUGGACGCGCUACCGGGAGGGCCUCUGCCGGUCCCGGGCGUGACAUCACGUCUCCAACCUUCGAAAGUAUAUCCACGACCCCGAGCAUGCCUUAGUGUAUGAGCCACCGGAAUUGCAUGAUGAAAUGAGCUACGAAGAGUUUCCGGUGUCGAUUGUUGCGCGAGAAGUGCGCAAAUUGAGAAAUCCCAAGAUUCCCUACGUGAAGGUUCGGUGGAGCAAUCACGACGAUCGUGAAACCACGUGGGAGCUCGAGGAGUUGAUGAAAGUGCAUAAUCCCCACCUCUUCGAGGAUUGAAUGAGGUAUGAGUUUAAGUUAAGUUAAAUUGAGUUUGAGUUAGUUUCGAGGACGAAACUCCUUUUAAGGAGAGGAGGAUGUAAGGACUCGAAACUGUGGAACGUGGAACUGAACUUUGAUCCAAAUUGGUCAAAGUCGAGUUCGGGGUGCUUCGAAAAAGCCGAAGGCAUCAAGAAGGCCAAAAGUGCAUUAGAGAAGGCCUCCGAGAGCGAGUUGUGAAGAUUCUGCAAAGUGGAGGAUUUUUGCUCUCGGGGACCGGUCCCUGGUGGGAAAGACCGGUUCCCGUAGCUUAGAAAAUGUUGCAGAAGGCUCUGCGCACAAAACUAGCUCCUGGGGAUCGGUCCCUAGCCGGAGAGACCGGUCCCCGUAUGUCACGCCCCGGGACCCAGCGGGAGCCCGCCCGGCGCGUGCCCAGACCCGCCAUAUGUCUACAACAUAUAAGGCGUCUAAAAACAACAAUAAUAACAGCAAUAAUAAAAGACAUCUAGAAGUAUCAGAGCAUAAUAAAUGUCUAAAUGCUACAACAAGGGAUAAGGAUAAAACAGUAAAUCCACUAAAUAAAACAUAGAGUAAGAACAAUAGGAAAUCCCAAAUACAAGAGCUAUAAGUAGGUACAUAGGUGGUCUCUAUACAUGAAUACAAAAUCUCUCACUCUCUCUCAACUACAAAAAGAAAGAGUAAACCACCUAGGCAAAGUACCGCUCCUCGCUAGCUAGCUAAGCGAUCCCCUUGCCGCGAUUCGUGACUCGCGGGCGCGAAGCCUGAGAAGUAAAACACAAAAGGGGGCAUGGAGGAACUAUUAAAAUAGUUCCAAUGUGGGGCAAUUACUGGACUUCAGUGAAUUGCACCACAAGGCCAAAGCUUACAGAAGAGAUUGAGGACCAAAAAUGUAGAAAGGCGAAGGUAAGUAAAUAUGGUACUUCACUAUACAUGAUAUCUUACUUAGAGCCUAAAUGUAGCAUAAGUGGUGAAAAACAUUCAUGAGAUAACAGUAUGUCGCAAACUAUCAUUAAUGUCCACGCAAUGGAAUAGUAAAGUUCGUUGCUUAAUUUUUCCAAUGUCAAUAAUACUCUAAGUCAUAUUAUCACAUGUCUUAAACGGAUUAUAUAAAGUCCAUCUGAAGAGCCCACGGAUAAGGCUGUUAUGGCUGGAGACCACCCUGUAUGUGCUGGCGGUGGCGAGCUAAUGGCCCGUGCGUGAAGAACUCUUAUCUACCUAUGAAUGAGGCCUGGCCACGGCAUCCGCUUCGGGCGCCCAAUCACGCACGGCGAUAUUUAUCGCGAAUGCCAUCUCCAGAGUGCCGCUUGUAGGGAGGGACCCUGCACAGAUUUGGUGCGAAUGAGCACAAUGGCAAGUAGUCAAACGAUCAGUCGCAGUAUCAGUCCUAUUUCAUGCCAAUACAUGGAGUAUAAUAGUAAAUGUCCUCGUGGGCCAAGUCACUAAUUUCAUAUUUUCGAAUAGGAUAUAGUUGUGUUCAAUGUGGCUAUUCUAAUGUUCUCUAUGUUGCAGUUUAAUUAGGUUCUCUAGUCAAAGUAAUAUUAUGAAAUAGGUUUUUGUCCCACAUGAGAUCUAAGUUCAAGAAUUACAAUUUAGUCAAACGAAAGCAUGAAACUUGGAUUUCUAAUCUCUCAUAGAAUAGUUUGUGCAUGCUUAUACAAAGCAAUUGUCUCUCUCUCUUACUAGUAUAGAAGUAAAUUUUCUUGGCUUGAUGCACAACAAUGAGUUCUAAGGCAUUCAAACUCUAUAAAUGCUAUUAAAAUGAAUUUUAAGGAGCAUGAAGUAUUGUAACCAAUCUUAGGAGGAAUUUCCUCAAUUUUAUGGAAGCCGAAACCACCUGUGGCAACGAUAACUCCCGGUGCGUCUCAACGAGGUAGUCCUUAGUUCCUGUAUCUAGAGGUCAGACAUGUGUCAUCGGAUGACCAAACACAACCUACUCAAACAUUAAGCUAAUCAUAUAGGUGAGGAAAACUACCUUCUAGUGCCAAAAUCUCUCUAAAGCUCCAAAAUGAAGUAGGGCUCAUCCAAUCAAGCUAUGGAAGCCUUAAUCAUCAUCUUAGCUUCAAAAAGCUUAGUUCAAAAUGCCAAAUAAACCCUAAUAUUCAAUUCUAGGGUUUUAAUUACAAAAUCAAUCAAGGAUCAAAGGGAGAAAUCAAGUCUCUAACCUCUCAAGAAGCUCCAAACUUAGCUCCAAUCCAAGUGGGGUGGGAGAUCUCCUCAGCCACAAGCUCCUCUCCAAGCUCUAAGCCAUCAACAAUGGUGGAGAAGCCACCAAGAUGCAAAAAGAGGAGAGAAAACCCAAAUAAAAACCAAGCAAAGGGGGUAAAAAUGCAAAGAAAGGGAGAGAGAGCUCCUCUCACCUUCUCCUCCUCAGGUCCCAGCACAAAAAAAGCCCUAAGGGGCGUGGGUGCUGUUAUAGAUAGGCUACAAUCGCGAAAAACCCCCUGCAGACCAAACUGCACAAAAACUGCCUCCUUGUACCGGUACACGGGUUCUUGUACCGGUACAAGGCCGACGAAAAUGCAAACCCAAAGCUCGGGUUGCUCGGUCUGCGGCUCUGUACCGGUACAAGCCCGAUGGCUGUACCGGUACAACCAUCAACCCUUGUACCGGUACAAGGCCAGUCUUGUUCCGGUACAAGCCCUGCUGCAGGCUACCCGAGAGCUGUCCAAAAAUUCCGAUUUUGGAAUUUUGGUGCCAAGUCCUACUCCAACAUCCUCGGGAUGCGUGCCAGGGGUCGGGACACUAUCAACGACCCUCCAAAAACUGUGGAAAGGCUCCACACACAGAUCAAACACUCGAAUCUUGCAAUUUGCUAAGAUCCAGUGCAUUACACCGUAGGUAUGCAAAAUGAGAAUGGGGCUGUCCUGCGAGAGUGUGCUCUCGGGGACCGGUCCAACGUUGGAGAGACCGGUCCCCGUAAGCAUGGAAAAGGGGCAAGGGCCCUUUUCUGUAAAUAAGUCACUCUCAGGGACCGGUCCCUCUUAGAGAGACCGGUCCCCGUAGCCCGAAAAUGCCCUGGCUUGGUUGUGUGUAUAUGAUGAAGUUGAGGGGCUAAAGUGCAAAGUGGCCUUAGUGGAGAGUAUAUGAGCAUGUAGCUCUCUCUCUUUCCCUCAUUUCUUUUAACCUAAACCUAAAACCUUCCUCUCUCUCUCUAGAAUCUCUUCUGUCUCUCUCUCAAGGUGGAAGGAGAAGAAGGAGUUGGGGGAAAGCUUGGAAGAGUGAAGUUCUCUUCUUCGUCUUCUUCCUCAAGUGGAGAAGGAGCAUCUUGAGGUAAGCUCUUGAGCUUGUUAAUGGUAUAUAUCUAGGGUUUGGGCGUUUGAACUCUAGAAUAGUUUGGAUUAAACCCUAGGGUGCUUAUAUGUUGUAAGAUGCAAGAAUCUAGGGUUGUUGUGGAGUAUUCGCGCCGUGGUUGCGAACUAGGGCUCCGUGAGGGUUUUCGUGACAGGUUAGGGUUUGAUCUCAUUUAACCCUAUGUAAAUGUAAUUGCUAGGUGUACGAUUACGCCGGCGAAGUCGGUUUGCUGAUCCGCCGAGCGAGCGCGGAGUUACUGGGAAAAAGGACCUUCCGGCCUUCGUUUCUGCCUAGAGGGCCGAGGCGGCUUCCAUAAAUCGUGGGAUCGGAUUCCGAGUAUUGUAACAAGAAACCGAAGACCUUUAAUUUUCGGAUUGCAGACCGGAGGUCGUUCGGUGGUCACGCGUGAAAUUGGGUCAAGCCGAGCGGCGUGCACCGCGGGAGGCCGAUUGCGAGUGACGAUGCGCAAUCGGAAUGCUAUAAAAGGGGGUGGUGUCCAUCCCAAAGCAGUUGAGCUGCUCCUUAUGUCUAAGUAUUAUUGUUGAUCUAUUGCAUAUUGAUAGGAUGCAUGAUAGGGUAUGAAUAGGCGCAAUUCCUUUACUUACAUGUCUUUGAUAGUGUAGCAAGGUGAGCUUGACACUAGUGUUAGAAUGCAUGUGUAAAGGUGAAUUGUGAUAUAGAAACCCUAAUGUAAAUGACAAUGUGAACUUGUGUUAAUUGGACAAGAG
rnacentral:lncRNA from 1 species